rnacentral:lncRNA from 10 species
CUGGAGUGCAGUGGCACAAUCUCGGCUCACUGCAACCUCCUUUUCCCAGGUUCAAGGGAUUCUCCCUCCCAAGUAGCUAGGAUUACAGGCGCCCAAUGUCAGGCCUCCGAGCCAAAGCUAAGCCAUCAUAUCCCCUGUGAACUGCAUGUACACAUCCAGAUGGCGGGUUCCUGCCUUAACUGAUGACAUUCCACCACAAAAGAAGUGGAAAUGGCCUGUUCCUGCCUUAACUGAUGACAUUACCUUGUGAAAUUCCUUCUCCUGGCUCAUCCUGGCUCAAAAGCUCCCUCACUGAGCACCUUGUGACUCCCACCCCUGCCCACCAGAAAAGAACCCCCUUUGACUGUAAUUUUCCUUUACCUACGCAAAUCCUAUAAAACGGCCCCACCCCAUGUCCCUUCGCUGACUCUUUUCGGACUCAGCCUACCUGCACCCAGGUGAUUCAAAAGCUUUAUUGCUCACACAAAGCCUGUUUGGUGGUCUCUUCACACGGACGCGAGUGAAAUUUGGUGCCGUGACUCAGAUCGGGGGACCUCCCUUGGGAGAUCAAUCCCCUGUCCUCCUGCUCUUUGCUCCGUGAGAAAGAUCCACCUACGACCUCGGGUCCUCAGACCAACCAGCCCAAGGAACAUCUCACCAAUUUUAAAUCCAGUAAGCGGCCUCUCUUUACUCUCUUCUCCAACCUCCCUCACUAUCCCUCAACCUCGUUCUCCUUUCAGUCUUGGUGCCACACUUCAAUCUCUCCCUUCUCUUAAUUUCAGUUCCUUUCCUUUUCUGGUAGAGACAAAGGAGAUGCGUUUUAUCUGUGGACCCAAAACUCUGGCACCGGUCACGGACUUGGGAAGACCGUCUUCCCUUGGUGUUUAAUCAUUGCGGGGACUCCUGCCUGAUUAUACACCCACAAUCCAUUGGUAUCUGAUCUCCGUGGGGACGCCUGCCUUGGUCAUUCACCCACAUUCCCUUGGUGGCAAGUCAAUUGCGGGGAUGCCUGCUUUGGCUGCUCACCCACAUUGCAGCCAGGGCUGCUCACCCAACCCAUUCUCUCUGUGUCUCUACCCUCUCUUCUCUCCACUUUCCUGGGGGGACAAGCAUCCCCCACCCCUUCUCCACUUUCCUGGGGGGCAAGCAUCCCCCACCCCUUCUCUCCGUAUCUCUACCCUUCUUUUUAAACUUGUCUCCUUCACUAUGGGCAACCUUCCACCCUCUAUUCCUCCUUCUUCUCCCUUAGCCUGUGUUCUCAAGAACUUAAAACCUCUUUAACUCUCGCCUGACCUAAAAUCUAAGUGUCUUAUUUUCUUCUGCAACACCGCUUGACCCCAAUACAAACUCGACAGUGGUUCCAAAUAGCCAGAACACGGCACUUUCGAUUUUUCCAUCCUACAAAAUCUAGAUAAUUCUUGUCGUAAAAUGGGCAACCGGUCUGAGGUGCCUGACAUCCAGGCAUUCUUUUACACAUCGGUCCCUCCCUAGUCUCUGUUCCCAAUGCAACUUGUCCCAAAUCUUCCUUCUUUCCUUCCCGCCUGUCCCCUCAGUCCCAACCCCAAGCGUCACUGAGUCUUUUGAAUCUUCCUUUUCUACAGACCCAUCUGACCUCUCCCCUCCUCCCCAGGCUGCUCUGCGCCAGGCUGAGCUAGGUCCGAAUUCUUCCUCAGCCUCCAUUUCCCCACCCUAUAAUCCUUUUAUCACCUUCCCUCCUCACACCCGGUCUGGCUUACAGUUUAAUUCUGCGACUAGCCCUCCCCCACCUGCCCAGCAAUUUCCUCUUAAAAAGGUGGCUGGAGCUAAAGGCAUAGUCAAGGUUAAUGCUCCCUUUUCUUUAUCCGACCUCUCCCAAAUCAGUUAGUGUUUAGGCUCUUUUUCAUCAAAUAUGAAAAAGCCAGCCCAGUUCAUGGCUGUUUGGCAGCAACUGUGAGAUGCUUUACAGCCCUAGACCCUAAAAGGUCAAAAGGCCAUCUUAUUCUCAAUAUACAUUUUAUUACCCAAUCCGCUCCCGACAUUAAAUAAACCCCCCAAAUUAAAUUCCGGCCCUCAAACCCCACAACAGGACUUAAUUAACCUUGCCUUCAAGGUGUACAAUAAUAGAGUAGAGGCAGCCAAGUAGCAGUGUAUUUCCGAGUUGCAAUUCCUUGCCUCCACUGUGAGAUAAACCCCAACCACAUCUCCAGGACACAAGAACUUCAAACGCCUGAACCGCAGCUGCCAGGCAUUCCUCCAGAACCUCUUCCCCCAGGAGCUUGCUACGAGUGUUGGAAAUCUGGCCACUGGGCCGAGGAAUGCCCCCAGCCCGGGAUUCCUCCUAAGCCAUGUCCCAUCUGUGCGGGACCCCACUGAAAAUUGGACUGUUCAACUCACCUGGCAGCCACUCCCAGAGCCCCUGGAACUCUGGCCCAAGGCUGUCUCACUGACUCCUUCCCAGAUCUUCUUGGCUUAGUGGCUGAAGACUCACGCUGCCCGAUCGCCUCAGAAGCCCCCUAGACCAUCACGGAUGCUGAGCUUCGGGUAACUCUCACAGUGGAGGGUA